rnacentral:lncRNA from 1 species
GGGAAGCGGGCUAGAGAAUGACCAGUCUAGGCACGAGGCUGCUGCUGGUGCUGGCUGGAGGCUUUAGAGCUUAGGGCAAAGUCAUGUUUAGCUGCCUCUCUGGAUAGAAACCAAAGAGAGAUGGCGUGACUGCUCCCUUCAAAAAGAAUUCCUCACUUUGUACGUGAUGCCCCUGUUGCCAGGAACGAGAUUAGCAGUGAUGAUAAAGUCCCUCUGAGAGCAGGACUGUCAGUGGGAAAGAAUUGUUUUAUAAACAUCUCUUUCGCAUAUAACGUUUUAGCGUGCUCAUCUCAGGAAGGCCAUACUCGGGGCCCUCUGCAAAGGGUUGCGUGGAAGGGACCGGGCGGAAGGAUCAAAUGAACACUCUGUUCGUUGGUUUUCAUCAAAAACAAACAGAAACAAACAAACAACCCAGAGAACCAGGCAGGGAUCAUGUGGAGUAAGCCCGACAGGCUGUCUUUGCAGCUGAUUGCAUUCAGGACGACUAUAUUAUCACUGCUGGGUAAUGUGAGAGAGGCAAGGAAAAAGUGGCCCAAGGUUUCCUGCCCAUUUGCUUCUAACUGAACACAGGAAAGCUGGGGCCAGUCUUGUGUCGCAUACCAGGUUCUUGGUUAUACUGCGCCAUCCGCAGUAGCAACAAUAAGGAAGAAGCUCAGAUGCC